AAAGAAAUGGUGUUGAAUUUGAUCAGUAUACCCCCCCCCCCCACACCCAUUUUACUUACCCAGACUCUUUUCCUGUGGUUAACUAAGGUCUUUCACAGGUGUGACGUCAGGCUGCAGACUACAAGAAUGCUGGUGCAUCAGAUAAUGAGUACAUUAGUCUGGAUUUCAAGGGACCUGUGCUGCAUAGAAGCAAGGUCAUGGACUCCCCAUCUGGACCGCAAUUCCCAAAAUGCAUUCUGGACAGUCUCCUGACUGACCCAUGCUGUGCUUCUACCAGAUCCGACUGUGGUGUGCCACUAUUUGGGAAGGUGGGGCAAUAAAGGGAAAUAAAACACAAGGUACCA
rnacentral:lncRNA from 1 species